rnacentral:rRNA from 1 species
GCGCAGCAGGCGAGAAACUUUACAAUGCGGGAAACCGCGAUAAGGGGACACCGAGUGCCAGCAUAUUACGUUGGCUGUCCACAUGUGUAAACGGCAUGUGUUAGCAAGGGCCGGGCAAGACCGGUGCCAGCCGCCGCGGUAACACCGGGCGGCCCGAGUGGGUAAUCACUUUUAUUGGGUCUAAAGGGUCCGUAGCCGGUUUGAUCAGUUCUUCGGGAAAUCUGACAGCUCAACUGUUAGGCUUCCGGGGGAAUACUGUCAGACUUGGGGACCGGGAGAGGUAAGAGGGUACUACAGGGGUAGGAGUGAAAUCUUGUAAUCCCUGUGGGACCACCAGUGGCGAAGGCGGUCUUACCAGAAC